ensembl:lncRNA
CUCGGGCUCACCAGGAGAUGGAGCCCGAGAGCCUCCCGGCAGCUCCCGGAGCUGUAAGGGCAGCGCCUGCCCCGCCGCCGGAGCGAGGCCCGAGCUCUGAGCUGCGGCACGGCGCUACCUGCAGCCCGAGGCUCGGCGUGUCUCGUAGCGACACAAGCGCUGCCCACAGAGCGCGUUUGGGAACGCGGGAUUGUUCUCUUCAGUAACACACAGUGAUGAAGCGGAUAGAAAUGAAGGAGAGCGCUUCUGGUUCUGAGAGGGAGGCAGAAGGUAAAAAACGAGCCGACACCAACGGCUGACGCGGGAAACUGCAUUACGUCUCGUCUCACCACAGCGUUUUGUUCACACACACAAAAGACCCUCCCCCUCGUUUUUUCUCAGUGGUCACAAAGCCGGGGAAAACAAACAAAAAAAAAAAAAAAAACAGAGCAGAACAAAACAAAACCAGCACGAACAAUCGAACAGAAAUCAGGGAAAGGAGGGGCGUUUCUUGUAUUUUGGGGGCUCAGCCUGCAACCAAAACUCUCCUCCCAAAAUGCCUCUAAAAAUCUUCCCGUUGCGGUGAAGAAAGGACAGAGGAGGCAGUCAGAACCAACUCUUCAGCAGAGAACCACGCACGGAUGAGAGGCUGGGAGAACACAGGAGCCUUUGAGAAGUCUGCCCUUCGGGACUCCUUUCCUCCACCUUCUCUCUCCUCUGAGCUUUCCCAUUAUAAACGACUAGACACCUGCUUGUUCUCCUCCUUGGAGACAUUUCAGACAGUGCUGUGGGAGGCUCUGAAUUUCCAAAGUGGCCAUAAAGCAGAUGCUUGAGGA